GGAUUGUGGCUCAGUGGCAGAGUGCUUGCCUCGCACGUAUGAGGUACUGGGUUCAAUCCUCAGUGCCA
rnacentral:tRNA from 1 species